CGCACGGGUGAGUAACGCGUAUGCGACCUGCCCGUUGCAGGGGGAUAAUCGGGAGAAAUCCCGUCUAAUACCGCGUAAUGCCGCGGGGCUGCAUGGCCCUGCGGCCAAAGGGAGCGAUUCCGGCAACGGAUGGGCAUGCGUGACAUUAGCUAGUUGGCGGGGCAACGGCCCACCAAGGCGACGAUGUCUAGGGGUUCUGAGAGGAAGGUCCCCCACACUGGUACUGAGACACGGACCAGACUCCUACGGGAGGCAGCAG
rnacentral:rRNA from 1 species